rnacentral:tRNA from 1 species
GCCGGCCUAGCUCAAUUGGUAGAGCAACUGACUUGUAAUCAGUAGGUUGGGGGUUCAAGUCCUCUGACCGGCACCA